CCUACGGGUGGCAGCAGUGGGGAAUCUUGCGCAAUGGUCUAACGACUGACGCAGCGACGCCGCGUGUGGGAGGACGCCUUUCGGGGUGUAAACCACUGUUGCCCGGGACGAAUCCGGCGUUUCGACGCCGUUGACGGUACCGGGUGAGGAAGCACCGGCUAACUCCGUGCCAGCAGCCGCGGUAAUACGGAGGGUGCGAGCGUUGUCCGGAAUCAUUGGGCGUAAAGGGCGCGUAGGUGACUUCUUAAGCGUGCGGUGAAAGCCUGGGGCUCAACCCCGGGUCGGCCGUGCGAACUGGGGGGCUUGAGCACUGUAGAGGCAGGCGGAAUUCCGGGUGUAGCGGUGGAAUGCGUAGAGAUCCGGAAGAACACCGGUGGCGAAGGCGGCCUGCUGGGCAGUUAGCUGACACUGAGGCGCGACAGCGUGGGGAGCAAACAGGA
rnacentral:rRNA from 1 species